rnacentral:snoRNA from 1 species
CCACUCUCAGAGUCACACCUGGAGAGUUUCCAGUACUCUACCAGUCUCAGCUAUGGGAGGGAGAGUCAAGCAGAGAUAUACCCAUUCCAUUCCUAGCUUGGCCAGUGGCUAGCCAGAGGAGGACAAUCUGCUACAAGU